GCAGAGUGAACGAAUCAUGAUUGGAUGAAUGCUCAAUGCUGGAAUUGCUAUUGCCACGUGGAUCCCUUUGCCGGAUAAUUUCCACUUUCUACUUUUUCUUUUUCUUUUUUAUUACUCCAUCGUCUUUCUUCCCUUCCAGCUAAAUUGGAAUUUGGGAGUUGGGACCCAUUAAAAUUUAAGACAUCAAUUUCACCUUCUAAAUAUGAUAUUGUAGUGGUAAUCACUUUUAACACUAAUUAAUCAUUGUAGUAAAAUUUUGCAAUCUACAUGUAUGCUAAAAUUUCAACUUCUAUAUACUGUCUUGAUUAAUGCUGAAAGCACAAAAUCCAUGUUUAUAUUUUGUUGCCGUG
rnacentral:lncRNA from 1 species